AUUGAACGCUGGCGGCAGGCCUAACACAUGCAAGUCGAGCGAGCGGCGGACGGGUGAGUAAUGUAUGGGCAACUGCCUGAUGGAGGGGGAUAACUACUGGAAACGGUGGCUAAUACUGCAUACCAUCAGAUGUACCCAUAUGGGAUUAGCUAGUAGGUGGGGUAAAGGCUCACCUAGGCGACGAUCCCUAGCUGGUCUGAGAGGAUGACCAGCCACACUGGGACUGAGACACGGUCCAGACUCCUACGGGAGGCAGCAGUGGGGAAUAUUGCACAAUGGGCGCAAGCCUGAUGCAGCCAUGCCGCGUGUGUGAAGAAGGCCUUCGGGUUGUAAAGCACUUUCAGCGGGGAGGCGUUACCCGCAGAAGAAGCACCGGCUAACUCCGUGCCAGCAGCCGCGGUAAUAC
rnacentral:rRNA from 1 species